UACGGAGGGGGCUAGCGUUGUUCGGAAUUACUGGGCGUAAAGCGCACGUAGGCGGCUUUCUAAGUCGGGGGUGAAAUCCUGGAGCUCAACUCCAGAACUGCCUUCGAUACUGGCGAUCUUGAGUCCGGAAGAGGUGAGUGGAACUCCUAGUGUAGAGGUGGAAUUCGUAGAUAUUAGGAAGAACACCAGUGGCGAAGGCGGCUCACUGGUC
rnacentral:rRNA from 1 species